CCUGGAACACAUGGUGUAGUUGGUGCAUGCAACAACACGUGGAUCCCAUAUGUGCCUCAACCACAUCUUGAGUUUCCUUACCGCCCUGUAUGACCAAAGCUUGGCCUACCGCACGAUAAACGUGUAUAGAUCAGCAAUCUCAGCUGGUCAUGGCGGAUUGGAUGAAUUCCCGGCUGGGAAACACUUGCUGUUUUGUCAUCUUCUACGAGGCAUUAGAUUUGCACGUCCACCACAGCACCGAUACACGACUUUAUGGGACGUCAAUCUGGUUCUUCGUCUCUUGGAAGAUUGGCCUAUGAACUCGGACCUUACGCUCAAAAAAGUAUCUGCAAAAUUGGCUAUGCUCCUGUGUUUAAUUUCCUAUAAAAGGGUGUCGGACAUUCGAGCUCUGGAUAUCGA